AUGUUAGAGAAUCUUGUAGAUCUUGAUCUCUCACACAAUAACAUGUUAGGCCCUAUCUCAGCACAAAUGGGUAUGCUUAGGAGUCUAGGACAGUUACUUCUUGAAGCAAACAAAUUCUCUGGAUCCAUACCAAGCAGCUUUGGUAAUCUUAGUUUCUUACAAAACAUCAACUUGUCUAAUAACAAGUUGGGGUCAACGAUACCCCUGAGCCUUUUCCGCCUAAAUAAACUUAUCACAUUGGAUGUUUCUCACAAUUCCAUUGCUGGUGCACUACCAGAUGAUGUUUCUGGUCUAAGACAAAUUGAUCUCUCUUCCAACUUCUUGGUAGGAAGCAUCCUAGAAUCAUUUGGACAACUUGAUAUGCUAACAUACAUAAAUCUAUCGCAUAAAUCCUUCAAAGGCUCAAUUCCCGACCCACUGAGAAAACUAGGAAGCUUAGCAUCAUUAGACCUUUCAUUCAACAAUCUCUCUGGUAUCAUUCCCAUGUUCCUUGCCAACUUUACCUACUUGACUACCUUGAACCUCUUGUUCAAUAGGUUAGAAGGCAAAAUACCCGAGGGGGUUGUUUUCUCAAACAUCACCUUGCAAUCUUUGAUUGGGAAUGCUGGGCUAUGUGGUGCUCAACGCCUAGGAGUGCCGCCAUGCCUUGAUAGAUCUAGAUCAAGUAACAAACACUCGCUAAAAAUUCUACUUCCAACACUCAUAUUAGCCUCUAGUGCCAUUGUCAUUUGCUUGUACUUAUGGUUUGGAAAAAAAACUAAAGAAGGAACAGAACAAUGCUUCUGUUGA
rnacentral:rRNA from 1 species